ACACAGCCAUAUGUAUUAUACAGAUGGGAGCAGUCUGGCUCAACAAAUGGAAUUAUUUUCUGUCAGAUGUCAAAUUCAGAUAUCAGAAUGCUUGUCUAAUAAAAUCUUACCACCAAGGGCCAACCAAGUAAAAAAAAAAAAACUGUACACUUACAAUGUAAAAUAAUUUUAUUUGCUUAUGCAAAAUACAAAAGCAGAAAAGGUUGCAGAUGAAUUUAUGCAUGUACAUCUUACAGCCAAAGUACAGUUCCAGUGUAGAGUACAUUCUAGAACAGAAACACAACUGCAAUUGCAUACUCAAUUCAAAAGAUACAAACAUUUUUAGAAACCCGCCACUUUUUUAUGCACAAUGUAAAGAGGUUUUGCCAAAUGGCACAAUAGUAAACAAAAAGGAAUUACAGAUCAUGGCAGUCCAGCUUUGACAAACCAAAUAAAAUAAAGCAAUACACCAUUCUAUACGUAGAAAUUUAUACACCUCGGCAUAGGAGAAAUCAAACUGUAACCAAGUAGCUUGUAGGGCUCCUUUUCUGGCAAAAGUGUUUGUACAUUGUAAGGCCAUCCAGGUAUUGUAUGUAUUUAUUAGAAACUCUAAAAAGGGCUGAAACAGCUUUAAGGCUUUAUGCAUGAAUUUGUGAGAUUUAGGUAAUGCAUUGCUUAGAUUUUAUCCAUCAGACCAUAUGGCCUACAGAGGAACGUAAAUAUUUGUCCAACUAAAGUAAAUGGGCCACAUUUACUAAACUUGUCUAAUAUUUAGACAGUGUAACCUUAGACCAGACAGUGUAAUGAUGUGGCAAAUUUAUCAAAGUGGCUCAAGUUGAAUGAUAAAUUUGGUGCUUCUUUAGACUGCCUGCAUUGGUUGGCUUACUGAGUGGAAAGAUUUUGUGCUGAAUUUUGGUGAAUAUUAGCACCCUUUCCACUAAUCCUCACCCCCUGUCGAACGAGGCACAAAAAGUAUGUAAAUGGCUGUCAGAAUGGUAGUAAUCUGCUCUGCUGUGUCUGGAGAGUUCAUUAUGGGAAAAAUCCUAUGAUUUAUCAGACUGGAUAUAUUUCUAGCAGUCUAUGUAAAGCGUUCCAAGGCUAGCUAAAUGUUUAAAGUUUUUUCCUUUUGCAUAAGUAGUCCAAAAGGUAAAGUCUGUUUGCAAAAAAAGAUGUGCUGUGGAUGCAGUUUUCACUCUUUGCAUUGUAAUGGGUGCCUUAAAUAAAACUGUGAACUCUAGUGCAUGAUCCAGAUUUCAAAACCCACAGCACAUAAAGUGUGCUUUUCAUGUAUUCUGAUGUGUCAUUUUGGUGCAGAAUCCACAAAAAUCUACAACUUGUGAAUAUGGCCUAACAGAAUAAAUGAAAUGAUUUGUUUACGAUAAUUUCAAUGACCCAGUGAGAGACAAGUUCUAAGGAUUGUCCAGGAAAAAUAUCUUUAAAAUGUAACAACCAGUAGGGUGGAAAUACAUAAAAAAGGGCUAUAUCCACCUCAAGGAUCCCCCACCACUGCUGAUCCAGGGAUGCCCGGUCUCCUGCUGAUUUUCUCUUUUCUGCUGCACC